AUUCAACGCUGGCUGCAGGUCUAACACAUGCCAGUCGAGCGGAUGAAGGGAGCUUGCUCCUGGAUUCAGCGGCGGACGGGUGAGUAAUGCCUAGGAAUCUGCCUGGUAGUGGGGGAUAACGUCCGGAAACGGGCGCUAAUACCGCAUACGUCCUGAGGGAGAAAGUGGGGGAUCUUCGGACCUCACGCUAUCAGAUGAGCCUAGGUCGGACUAGCUAGUUGGUGGGGUAAAGGCCUACCAAGGCGACGAUCCGUAACUGGUCUGAGAGGAUGAUCAGUCACACUGGAACUGAGACGCGGUCCAGACUCCUACGAGAGGCAGCAGUGGGGAAUAUUGGACAAUGGGCGAAAGCCUGAUCCAGCCAUGCCGCGUGUGUGAAGAAGGUCUUCGGAUUUGUAAAGCACUUUAAGUUGGGAGGAAGGGCAGUAAGUUAAUACCUUGCUGUUUUGACGUUGCCAACAGAAUGAGCACCGGCUAACUUCGUG
rnacentral:rRNA from 1 species